rnacentral:rRNA from 1 species
UGGGGAAUUUUGGACAAUGGGCGCAAGCCUGAUCCAGCAAUGCCGCGUGAGUGAAGAAGGCCUUCGGGUUGUAAAGCUCUUUUGUCAGGGAAGAAACGGCUCAGGCUAAUAUCCUGGGCUAAUGACGGUACCUGAAGAAUAAGCACCGGCUAACUACGUGCCGGCAGCCGCGGUAAUACGUAGGGUGCAAGCGUUAAUCGGAAUUACUGGGCGUAAAGCGUGCGCAGGCGGUUUUGUAAGUCUGAUGUGAAAGCCCCGGGCUCAACCUGGGAAUUGCAUUGGAGACUGCAAGGCUUGAAUCUGGCAGAGGGGGGUUAGAAUUCCACGUGUAGCAGUGAAAUGCGUAGAGAUGUGGAGGAACACCGAUGGCGAAGGCAGCCCCCUGGGUCAAGAUUGACGCUCAUGCACGAAAGCGUGGGGAGCAAACAGGAUUAGAUACCCUGGUAGUCCACGCCCUAAACGAUGUCUACUAGUUGUCGGGUUUUAAUUAACUUGGUAACGCAGCUAACGCGUGAAGUAGACCGCCUGGGGAGUACGGUCGCAAGAUUAAAACUCAAAGGAAUUGACGGGGUCAUAGCUGUUUCCU